UACAGAGGUCUCGAGCGUUAGGCGGAAUCACUGGGCUUAAAGCGUGUGUAGGCGGAUCGUUAAGUGCCUUGUGAAAUCCCACGGCUCAACCGUGGAACUGCUUGGCAUACUGGCGGUCUUGAGCAACCUAGGGGCGAGCGGAACAAAUGGUGGAGCGGUGAAAUGCGUAGACAUCAUUUGGAACGCCAAUGGUGAAAAUAGCUCGCUGGGGGUUUGCUGACGCUGAGACACGAAAGCCAGGGGAGCAAACGGG
rnacentral:rRNA from 1 species